rnacentral:rRNA from 1 species
GGGAGGAACCCCAGGUGNNGAGGCGACUUUCUGGUCUGUAANNGACAUGGAGNNGGGAAAGCGUGGGGAGCGAACAGGAUUAGAUANCCNUGGUAGUCCANCGCCGGNNAACGAAUGAGUGCUNAAGNGUUUAGNAGGGGUUUCCGNCCCNUUUAGUGGNUGGCAGCUAACGCAAUNAAGCACUCCCGCCUGGGNNAGUACGGGCCGCNAGGCUUGAAANUCAANNGGAAUUGACGGGGGCCCGCACAAGCGGUGGAGCAUGUGGUNNNUUCGAAGCAACGCGAAGNACCUUACCAGGUCUUGACAUCCUCUUGACAACCCUAGAGAUAGGGCCUUCCCCUUUUGGGGGACAGAGUGACAGGUGGUGCAUGGUUGUCGUCAGCUCGUGUCGUGAGAUGUUGGGUUAAGUCCCGCAACGAGCGCAACCCUUGAUCUUAGUUGCCAGCAUUCAGUUGGGCACUCUAAGGUGACUGCCGGUGACAAACCGGAGGAAGGUGGGGAUGACGUCAAAUCAUCAUGCCCCUUAUGACCUGGGCUACACACGUGCUACAAUGGAUGGUACAAAGAGCCCGCAAACCCGCGAGGGGUAAGCUAAAUCUCAUAAAGCUAUUCUCAGUUCGGAUUUGCANGCUGCAACUCGCCUGCAUGAAGCCCGGAAUCGCUAGUAAUCGCGGAUCAANCCAUGCCGCGGNGNAUACCGUUCCCGGGCCNUNGUNNACACCCGCCCGUCACACCCACCGAGAGUUUGUNACACCCCG